GUUUAGUUUGCUGUUGGACGCACGCCUGCCUCGUUGCAACGCGCUGAAACCACAUCACAUUUAAAAAUAGACGCGUGGUAAAUACCAAAACAUGCUUCAAUCAGUUCAAUGAUACCCAUCAAAAAUACCUGGUUCAGUGUAUUCAACAACAGAGAAGAUUAUUUUGUAAUAAUUACGAGAAGCAAGAUAAGCUCUAAAAAAGCUUUCAAAGGGUCAAAAAAUCCUGAAUGACAAUAUCAUGAACCGACGACACCAAUACAAUAACGAGUAACUAUGAUACAUUGUCAAGGCUAGUGCUACCUGGGUAUACUAUGCCGAGAUAUG